CACAGGUCAGCAGUGGCGGAGUCUGCGCUCUACCCCGUGCAGGGACCCUGGCUCUGCUCUCCGGAAGUUUGCUGGUUGCCAUGGGGGAGAAGAGUGAGACUGGGGAAUGGCUCAGGGGCGUUUCACUGCCUCAGCCUGGAGGCGCAGAAAAAGAAGUAAACGAUCUCACUGUUUUGGAACUCUGAGUUUCUAAUUUGAAACAGCAGAACGGGAUAUUUAAGAGCAGAGGAGAAAAGUUAGCAACUGCUGAGUCUUCUUUAGCAUAAUUCAUUUAACAUAUAACCCAGCGGCCACUGCACCAAGUGCUGUUCUAGGCGUGAGGAUGUCAGAAGAGAGGCCCAGUGACAAGGUCGAUGUUUCCAUGGAGGUCACAAUUCAGGCAAUAAGUGCACAAACAAACAAGUAAACGCAGCACAUUUAAAUACCAGUGAGUGCAAUAGAAAACAACUCAGUGAGAGGGAGGGUGGUGUAAGAGUGGAUGGCGUCCAUGAGGAAAGCAGCAUCUGUUUCUAAAUGUGAGGCUGCCAGUGUCCACCUGCAGAAAAGGCCGUCCUUCUGGCUAAGUUGAGCAGAACAGGAUUUAAUGCAGGGUAUUAGGUGCUUUCAGAAUCCCUCAGAAGGCUAGGCCUCCGCAGCAGCUCCCCAAAUCACACCCCAGUGGGCUGCCGGGAACUGUGCUCACAGCUGCUGUCAGGAAAGUCAGGAACCACUAGCUGGGGUAGUAGCCACCAGCUCAAGAAUGUGUGACAGGGCGGGGCACAGUGGUUCACACCUGUAAUCCCAGCACUUUAGGAGGCUGAGACAGGCAG